GUGGGGUUGGGGCUCAGUGGUAGAGCACUCACCUAGCACAUGUGAGGACCUGUGUUCGAUCCUCAGCACCACA
rnacentral:tRNA from 1 species